rnacentral:rRNA from 1 species
UCAUUAGUUUUUUAAUUGAAAGCUGGUAUGAAAGGUUUGAUGAGAAAUUAGCUUUUUCAAUAUUAAUUUUUUAAAACUUUAUUUUUAAGUUAAAAAGCUUAAAUAAUUAUAAAAGACGAGAAGACCCUAUAGAGUUUUAUUAUUAUUAUUUAAUUAAAUAUUAUGAAUUUUAUUAUUUAAUAUUUUAACAUAAUUUAAUUGGGGUGAUUGGAAAAUUUAAUUAACUUUUCUUAAAUAAAAUCAUUAAUUUAUGAUUCAUUGAUCCAUUUAUAUGAUUAUAAGAGUAAAUUACCUUAGGGAUAACAGCGUAAUUUUACUUAAGAGUUCUUAUUUAAAGGAAAGUUUGCGACCUCGAUGUUGGAUUAAAAUAUAUACUUGGUGUAGAAGCUAAGU